GGGCGUUACAGCGUUUUGCUCCAGAUUCUGUCUCCGGGAGGAGAGCCUUCUGUGCUCCAGGCAGGAGGAAAGGAGGCGUUCGAUUCAUCAAGUCCAAGUUGAGCUACAUGAUCAUGAAGAACAUUCAAGCAGGUAUGGACCCCAUUUUGUUGGCCCAUUCAUCCACGGAUGGAGAGUGUUUGGAUUUUCAGGUGCUAUUCACUAAACCACCUCAAAAGAACUUCUCUUUGGACCAAUGCUCUUCAACAGGAAUACGAUGCGAGACCCAAAAGCAAACCUCCUACGUCGUUUUGAACUUCCU
rnacentral:lncRNA from 1 species